CUGGUACCCGGUCAGCGACAGCUGCCGCCUGCACGUGACCGACAGGAGCGGUGCCCGCGCCGGGCAGUUCGAGGAUCUGAGCCAAGUGCCCAAGUACGAGAUGGCCGAGAGUGACUAUGACAAGAGAACAGAGUCCCUGCGCUCCUGGGAACGGGAACAGAACUGGGAAUAGGAACGGGACCGGGAACAGGAACGGGAACAG